rnacentral:rRNA from 1 species
GCGCCGGCUAACUACGUGCCAGCAGCCGCGGUAAUACGUAGGGCGCAAGCGUUGUCCGGAAUUAUUGGGCGUAAAGAGCUCGUAGGCGGUUUGUCGCGUCUGCUGUGAAAACCUCAGGCUCAACCUGGGGCUUGCAGUGGGUACGGGCAGACUAGAGUGCGGUAGGGGUGACUGGAAUUCCUGGUGUAGCGGUGGAAUGCGCAGAUAUCAGGAGGAACACCGAUGGCGAAGGCAGGUCACUGGGCCGCAACUGACGCUGAGGAGCGAAAGCAUGGGGAGCGAACAGGAUUAGAUACCCUGGUAGUCCAUGCCGUAAACGUUGGGCACUAGGUGUGGGGUCCAUUCCACGGAUUCCGUGCCGCAGCAAACGCAUUAAGUGCCCCGCCUGGGGAGUACGGCCGCA